UGGGGAAUAUUGGACAAUGGGGGCAACCCUGAUCCAGCGAUGCCGCGUGAGUGAAGAAGGCCCUCGGGUCGUAAAGCUCUUUAGGCUGGGAAGAAGGGGAUGUGGUGAAUAGCCAUGUUUCUUGACGGUACCGGCAGAAUAAGCACCGGCAAACUCUGUGCCAGCAGCCGCGGUAAUACAGAGGGUGCGAGCGUUAAUCGGAAUUACUGGGUGUAAAGGGCGCGUAGGCGGCGGGAUGUGUGUGAUGUGAAAGCCCCGGGCUUAACCUGGGAAGUGCAUUGCAAACUGUCCUGCUGGAGUAUAUGAGAGGGUGGCGGAAUUUCCGGUGUAGCGGUGAAAUGCGUAGAGAUCGGAAGGAACGUCGAUGGCGAAGGCAGCCACCUGGCAUAAUACUGACGCUGAGGCGCGAAAGCGUGGGGAGCGAACAGGAUUAGAUACCCCCGUAGUCC
rnacentral:rRNA from 1 species